rnacentral:rRNA from 1 species
AAUAGAUACCCCGGUAGUCCACCCGUAACGUUGGGAACUAGUUGUGGGGUCCUUUCCACGGAUUCCGUGACGCAGCUAACGCAUUAAGUUCCCCGCCUGGGGAGUACGGCCGCAAGGCUAAAACUCAAAGGAAUUGACGGGGACCCGCACAAGCGGCGGAGCAUGCGGAUUAAUUCGAUGCAACGCGAAGAACCUUACCAAGGCUUGACAUACACCAGAACACCCUAGAAAUAGGGGACUCUUUGGACACUGGUGAACAGGUGGUGCAUGGUUGUCGUCAGCUCGUGUCGUGAGAUGUUGGGUUAAGUCCCGCAACGAGCGCAACCCUCGUUCUAUGUUGCCAGCACGUAAUGGUGGGAACUCAUGGGAUACUGCCGGGGUCAACUCGGAGGAAGGUGGGGAUGACGUCAAAUCAUCAUGCCCCUUAUGUCUUGGGCUUCACGCAUGCUACAAUGGCCGGUACAAAGGGCUGCAAUACCGUGAGGUGGAGCGAAUCCCAAAAGCCGGUCCAGUUCGGAUUGAGGUCUGCAACUCGACCUCAUG